AGUGCUCGAAAGAGAACCUGCACACAGGUGCUGCAUGGCUGUCGUCAGCUCGUGUCGUGAGAUGUUGGGUUAAGUCCCGCAACGAGCGCAACCCUUGUCAUUAGUUGCUACAUUCAGUUGGGCACUCUAAUGAGACUGCCGGUGACAAACCGGAGGAAGGUGGGGAUGACGUCAAGUCCUCAUGGCCCUUAUAGGUGGGGCUACACACGUCAUACAAUGGAUGGUACAAAGGGUCGCCAACCCGCGAGGGGGAGCCAAUCCCAUAAAGCCAGUCGUAGUCCGGAUCGCAGUCUGCAACUCGACUGCGUGAAGUCGGAAUCGCUAGUAAUCGUGGAUCAGCAUGUCACGGUGAAUACGUUCCCGGGUCUU
rnacentral:rRNA from 1 species